AUUGAACGCUGGCGGCAGGCCUAACACAUGCAAGUCGAGCGAGUGGCGGACGGGUGAGUAAUGUAUGGGAAACUGCCCGAUAGAGGGGGAUAACUACUGGAAACGGUGGCUAAUACCGCAUACUAUCGGAUGUGCCCAUAUGGGAUUAGCUAGUAGGUGGGGUAAAGGCUCACCUAGGCGACGAUCUCUAGCUGGUCUGCGAGGAUGACCAGCAACACUGGGACUGAGACACGGUCCAGACUCCUACGGGAGGCAGCAGUGGGGAAUAUUGCACAAUUGGCGCAAGCCUUAUGCAGCCAUGCCGCGUGUAUGAAGAAGGCCUUCGGGUUGUAAAUUACUUUCAGCGGGGAGGCGUUACCCGCAGAAGAAGCACCGGCUAACUCCGUGCCAGCAGCCGCGGUAAUAC
rnacentral:rRNA from 1 species